rnacentral:lncRNA from 1 species
AUUGUGGCCUAUUUAAUAAUCACAAUGUAUCAAAAUAUUUUCCAUUUUAAUUGGGUAUAUACAAAAGGGAACAAAACAAAUUCACAAAUAACACAUUGGAACGGAGGGGAGAGGAGAGAGCGCAACAAAAAGAGGCUCACUCAGAAAUGUAUUGCGAAUUUGUUGAAGCAUUUGUGGGGAUUCUGUAGCCGGAUUCUGCACUGUUUCUUUGCCAAGAAAGGGAGCACCAAAAAAAUCGAGCGUGCACGAGUAUGAAAUAUGUGGC